rnacentral:rRNA from 1 species
CGGCGGACGGGUGAGUAACACGUGGAUAACCUACCUAUAAGACUGGGAUAACUUCGGGAAACGGAGCUAAUACCGGAUAAUAUAUUGAACCGCAUGGUUCAAUAGUGAAAGACGGUUUUGCUGUCACUUAUAGAUGGAUCCGCGCCGCAUUAGCUAGUUGGUAAGGUAACGGCUUACCAAGGCAACGAUGCGUAGCCGACCUGAGAGGGUGAUCGGCCACACUGGAACUGAGACACGGUCCAGACUCCUACGGGAGGCAGCAGGG